AUUUUGCGAAUUCUUCGCGUAAGGGUUACCUCGACGACCUCAGGAGUGUUGAAUGUGAUUCUGACCUCCAAAUCUGUACAAGCAAACUACAUCCAACUGAAUAAGCACCGUGAUAACAUCCAUUAUAUAUCAUGAAGGUCUGGAUGGGAUGCAAACGUCAUCUCAGGGGAUUCCCCGAAUUGUGAUUUGCAAGUGUCCUCUGCAACUCUACGUUGGAUCAAAAGUGAUCUAAUCUAAUAGAAAAUGAAGAAUAUAUAAAAGUAGAGACCGAUACAACGCCAAAGGAUGGUUUUAAAUUUGGUGUACUUUCGGCUGGCCACACUAGCCUUCUUCAAGUACAAUGACAAUUUUACGGUAAGAAAUCAGUCUCAGUCAAAGAAAAAAAGCAAGAAGUGCUAAGUAAGAAGAUACU